rnacentral:rRNA from 1 species
UACGGAGGGAGCAAGCGUUACUCGGAAUUACUGGGCGUAAAGGGCGCGUAGGCGAUUUUGUAAGUCUUGUGUGAAAGCCCAAAGCCUAACUUUGGAAGUGCACAAGAUACUGCGAGAAUUGAGUUCCGGAGAGGAAGAUGGAAUUCCCGGUGUAGCGGUGAAAUGCGUAGAGAUCGGGAAGAACAUCAGUGGCGAAGGCGGUCGUGCUGGGCCGUUGCUGACGCUGAGGCGCGACAGCGUGGGGAGCAAACAGG